rnacentral:rRNA from 1 species
CCAGCAGCCGCGGUAAUUCCAGCUCCAAUAGCGUAUAUUUAAGUUGUUGCAGUUAAAAAGCUCGUAGUUGGAUUUCGGGUGGGGUGGUGCGGUCCGCCUCUGGUGUGCACUGCUCCGCUCCACCUUCCUGCCGGGGACGGGCUUCUGGGCUUCACUGUCCGGGACUCGGAGUCGGCGAUGUUACUUUGAGUAAAUUAGAGUGUUCAAAGCAGGCCUACGCUCUGAAUACAUUAGCAUGGAAUAACACGAUAGGACUCUGGCCUAUCUGUUGGUCUGUGGGACCGGAGUAAUGAUUAAGAGGGACAGUCGGGGGCAUUCGUAUUCCGUUGUCAGAGGUGAAAUUCUUGGAUUUACGGAAGACGAACUACUGCGAAAGCAUUUGCCAAGG